rnacentral:lncRNA from 1 species
CUUGGAGCUGUGCCUGGCCCCGCAUCAAGCAGUCCUACUUAGCGGUUCUGCAUGGCUUGCAAACAAAGUGGGUUUGGUAACAAAGAAGCCCACGGCACCACACGGAAAAGCAGAGAGCCUUUAAAUUUCCCAGAACGGGAGCCUCUCACCAGACUGAAGUAGCCACCAGGUGAGGCACCUGGAGUUCUCCAAGCAUUUUCAAUUAAUCUUGGAAUGGUCGCUGGAGGCAAGAAGCCAGCGGCGCCUAAAGGAAUGAGAAAGUGCAAACUGAUCCAGAGGAAACAAAGGGCAGCGAGGGACCCCACAGCUGAGGCAGACGACACUGUGAGCGGCUCUGUCGGGAGGCUGGCGAGGCGUGCGCGCGCGGGUCUCUGCCUUAGCACCAUCUGCCGAUUCCUCAAGAGGACACAGAACAGACCAGCGAGCCAUGAAGAUUCGAUUAUGUAACGCGGGAGGAUUGCUUGUUUUCAAAAGGGAGACAAAUGGGAACGAAUUGAUUUGUUUGUCAAAGUCAUGGCCCCAAAGGAGACCAGUCCCCUCCUCUUCCUGGAGGAUUCAUCAAGGAAGGGGAGUGAUUUCACAGGCUCAGAAAAAAGGAGCCCAGGACUCACAGAGUCAGCUCAGAUGGUAACAGCAGCUCCUGGGCCGCAACGCGGUGAGCCACGUGGUAGAAGAAAAGAACCAACUUCAGCUAACAGUCCUCUGACCUCCAUAAGGGCACAUACCCACCCGCCGCGAAAUAAAUCCAUGCAAAACCAUAAUUCACUCCAUUCAUAAAAACGAGUCUAUUUCCAAAAUUGUGCUGGCAAACCUUUCUGGCUUCUCUGCUUGAGAAAUGACCAUUCCGCCGGUACCCAAAGGGCACAGCCAUAGAAUGGAACAUAAUUGGCACCCCCAACCCCAGCUUCAGAACCUGCCUGCUCUGUCUGACCUCUCUCGCUUGCUUUUAGGGAAGUAACAUCUGAUCUCAGAACCAGUGGGGGUCAUCUUACUAUUUCUAUUCUGAACUCUAGAAAGUGCUUUAGAGGCUAGGGGAUCUCUCUCUCUCUCUCUCUCUCUCUCUCUGUGUGUGUGUGUGUGUGUGUGUGUGUGUGUGUGUGUGUUAGUGUGUGUUAGUUGGUCCUUCCCUUCUACCAUGUGUCAGGGCACCAGCAACCAAACUCUGGUCAGCAAUAGCUAUCACCUAUGGCGACAUCUUGGUACCCUCUCACUUUCCUAUUCUUCUUCAUACUAUUCUGUCCUCGGUUUUGCUCCCUUGCCCUCCCUCGCCCUCCGGCUCUUGGGAGCAGCAGAAGACAGAGCAGAGGAUAAAGGUAGUGGUUCAGUAUCCCCAGCUCCUUCCCUGCCUCGGGUUGGCAGAGUCUUUGGAUAGAAGGUUGCCCCCUCUUCAAAGGAGCCUGGCCACUCGGGAGGCAGAGGCAGGCAGAUUUCUGAGUUCGAGGCUAGCCUGGUGUACAGAGUGAGUACCAGGACAGCCAGGGCUACACAGAGAAACCCUGUCUCGAAAGAAAGAAAGAAAGAAAGAAAG